rnacentral:ncRNA from 2 species
UCAAUUUACCAGGGGUGCCUGAUGCAUUUGCUAAGGCUGAGAAAUACCCUUUUUAACCUGCACUGGAUAAUGCCUGCGGAGGGAGCGUAAUAAAAUGCCAAU